GAUGAACGCUGGCGGCGUGCCUAAUACAUGCAAGUCGAGCGAACAGACGAGGAGCUUGCUCCUCUGACGUUAGCGGCGGACGGGUGAGUAACACGUGGAUAACCUACCUAUAAGACUGGGAUAACUUCGGGAAACCGGAGCUAAUACCGGAUAAUAUAUUGGACCGCAUGGUUCAAUAGUGAAAGACGGUUUUGCUGUCACUUAUAGAUGGAUCCGCGCCGCAUUAGCUAGUUGGUAAGGUAACGGCUUACCAAGGCAACGAUGCGUAGCCGACCUGAGAGGGUGAUCGGCCACACUGGAACUGAGACACGGUCCAGACUCCUACGGGAGGCAGCAGUAGGGAAUCUUCCGCAAUGGGCGAAAGCUUGACGGAGCAACGCCGCGUGAGUGAUGAAGGUCUUCGGAUCGUAAAACUCUGUUAUUAGGGAAGAACAAAUGUGUAAGUAACUAUGCACGUCUUGACGGUACCUAAUCAGAAAGCCACGGCUAACUACGUG
rnacentral:rRNA from 1 species